UACGUAGGGUGCGAGCGUUGUCCGGAAUUACUGGGCGUAAAGAGCUCGUAGGUGGUUUGUCGCGUUGUUCGUGAAAACUCACAGCUCAACUGUGGGCGUGCGGGCGAUACGGGCAGACUGGAGUACUGCAGGGGAGACUGGAAUUCCUGGUGUAGCGGUGGAAUGCGCAGAUAUCAGGAGGAACACCGGUGGCGAAGGCGGGUCUCUGGGCAGUAACUGACGCUGAGGAGCGAAAGCGUGGGGAGCGAUCCGG
rnacentral:rRNA from 1 species